rnacentral:rRNA from 1 species
GACGAACGCUGGCGGCGUGCUUAACACAUGCAAGUCGAACGGAAAGGCCCUGCUUGCAGGGUGCUCGAGUGGCGAACGGGUGAGUAACACGUGGGUGAUCUGCCCCUUACUUUGGGAUAAGCCUGGGAAACUGGGUCUAAUACUGGAUAGGACCAUGCUGUAGGUGGUGUGGUGGAAAGAUUAGUUUCGGUAAGGGAUGAGCUCGCGGCCUAUCAGCUUGUUGGUGGGGUAAUGGCCUACCAAGGCGUCGACGGGUAGCCGGCCUGAGAGGGUGGACGGCCACAUUGGGACUGAGAUACGGCCCAGACUCCUACGGGAGGCAGCAGUGGGGAAUAUUGCACAAUGGGCGCAAGCCUGAUGCAGCGACGCCGCGUGGGGGAUGACGGCCUUCGGGUUGUAAACUCCUCUCAGCCAUGACGAAGCCCUUGUGGUGACGGUAGUGGUAGAAGAAGCACCGGCUAACUACGUG